rnacentral:tRNA from 1 species
CUCCAGUUAGCCUAGCGAUCAAGGCUAUGGAUCACCAAUCCGGAGAUGGCGGGUUCGAUUCCCGCUCUGGACG